UACAAAAACAUAACCUUUAGCCACCAACAAAUAUUAAAGGCAACGCCUGCCCAGUGAAUAAUUAAACGGCCGCGGUACCCUAACCGUGCAAAGGUAGCGUAAUCACUUGUCUAUUAAUUGUAGACCAGCAUGAAAGGCAAAAUGAGGGUCCAACUGUCUCUUAUAGUAAAUCAAUUAAACUGAUCCCCUAGUAAAAAAGCUAGGAUAACCCCAUAAGACCAGAAGACCCUGUGAAGCUUAAACUAACCUACUAAACCAAGUAGUAGCUACUUUCGGUUGGGGCGACCUUGGAAUAAAAAAGAACUUCCAAACACAAUGACACUAAACCAUUACACUUUAGGCUCACAAGCCUACCCCCAGACCCAGCACAGCUGAAAAUUGAACCAAGUUACUCCAGGGAUAACAGCGCCAUCCUCUUCAAGAGCCCAUAUCAAAAAGAGGGUUUACGACCUCGAUGUUGGAUCAGGACAUCCUAAUGGUGCAACCGCUAUUAAGGGUUCGUUUGUUCAACGAUUAAUAGUCCYACGUGAUCUGAG
rnacentral:rRNA from 1 species